UACGGAGGGUGCGAGCGUUGUUCGGAAUCACUGGGCGUAAAGGGCGCGUAGGCGGUCUUAUAAGUCAGAUGUGAAAGCCCACGGCUUAACCGUGUGAAGUGCAUCUGAAACUGGUCGGCUUGAGUAUCGGAGAGGAAAGUGGAAUUCCCGGUGUAGAGGUGAAAUUCGUAGAUAUCGGGAGGAAUACCGGUGGCGAAGGCGACUUUCUGGACGAAUACUGACGCUGAGGCGCGAAAGCGUGGGGAGCAAACAGGAUUAGAUACCCGUGUAGU
rnacentral:rRNA from 1 species